UACAGAGGAGGCAAGCGUUGUUCGGAUUCAUUGGGCUUAAAGCGUGUGUAGGCGGCUUGGUAAGUGUCGCGUGAAAUCCCGUCGCUCAACGACGGAACUGCGCGGCAUACUGCCUGGCUUGAGGUCGGUAGGGGUGCCUGGAACUCUAGGUGGAGCGGUGAAAUGCGUAGAUAUCUAGAGGAACGCCUGAGGCGAAAGCGGGGCACUGGGCCGAAUCUGACGCUGAGACGCGAAAGCGUGGGGAGCAAACAGG
rnacentral:rRNA from 1 species